CCUACGGGAGGCAGCAGUGGGGAAUUUUGGACAAUGGGCGCAAGCCUGAUCCAGCAAUGCCGCGUGAGUGAAGAAGGCCUUCGGGUUGUAAAGCUCUUUUGUCAGGGAAGAAACGGUGGGGGCUAAUAUCUCCUACUAAUGACGGUACCUGAAGAAUAAGCACCGGCUAACUACGUGCCAGCAGCCGCGGUAAUACGUAGGGUGCAAGCGUUAAUCGGAAUUACUGGGCGUAAAGCGUGCGCAGGCGGUUUUGUAAGUCUGUCGUGAAAGCCCCGGGCUCAACCUGGGAAUUGCGAUGGAGACUGCAAGGCUUGAAUCUGGCAGAGGGGGGUAGAAUUCCACGUGUAGCAGUGAAAUGCGUAGAGAUGUGGAGGAACACCGAUGGCGAAGGCAGCCCCCUGGGUCAAGAUUGACGCUCAUGCACGAAAGCGUGGGGAGCAAACAGGAUUAGAUACCCUGGUAGUCCACGCCCUAAACGAUGUCUACUAGUUGUCGGUUUUAAUUAACGUUGGUAACGCAGCUAACGCGUAGAAGUAGACCGCCGUGGGGUAGUACGGUCGCGAAGAAUUAAAACGUUAAAGGAAGUUAGACGGCGUGAGACGUAGCGACGACGACGACGAGGGAGGAGG
rnacentral:rRNA from 1 species